GUCUGCACCUUGCCUUUCUGGGAACCAGAUUUGCUCAGCGGGACGGAGGAGGCAAGGGUGUGGCCUGAGAACAUGUCUCAGAAUUACUCACAGAACAGCAACUGAACUGUAAGGAAGGCAGAAGCAGCAAGACAAAUUCCAGAUACAGAGCAGAGGCACUUCCUCUCCAGGAAGGUGGUGAUCUCGGAAAACGUACCAGGCAGAUGCAAUGGGGAGACUGAGACUCUGGAGGCCUGUCUUCUCUUAAAGAAGCAGGGGAAUGGACAAUGUGAGGCCCAAGCAUACUGAUCCGGUAUUAGAGAGAAAAGUUGAAUUCAGGUCAAAGCUCUGUGGGACAAGAAGAGCUAUGUUGGUCCCUGCGAAUUGGAGGAGUCGAAUGCCAGAGAGUGAAGGGCAUGACUCCCAGCAGGAGCCCCAGCCAGGGCCUGUUUCAAGCUGCAGGUGAGAGUUCCAGCAAGGGUGCCUGGGAGUCACUUCCUCUGAAGAAACUGGCAGCUGCAGGAGGCAGUGGCAGGAACUCUGAGUAGCUCACUGAAUGGAAGACGAGGAGCUUGAAGGCUCAGCAGCCUACGAGGGGCUGAAGUAUGGCCGCUGGGACUGGCCAACCCUCAGCCGUUGUUACAGGAUGGAAUCUGGAGGAAAAUGUUAGAAAAACAAGGGCCUGGUUUAGCAAACAAAGGAAGAAGCAGAAGAGGACGGCCCUGGGCGCCAGCAGACACAGCCAGCGUGAAUACAGGACACCAGGCAUAAGGGAGAUUCCUGGGCUACCUGAGUGCUGUGCUGUCCAGCACAGAAGCAGGCAGCCUCCUGUGGCUUCUUCAGCUACAAAGACAGUAAUUAAAAGGAAAUGUGCAAUUCAGUUCCUUUGUCACACUAGGCACACUUCAAGUACUGCUGCUUAAAACAUUAGGCAUCGCAGAUAGAGGAUGUCC
rnacentral:lncRNA from 1 species